AACCAAGUUGUAAUCAUGCAUCGAGAAACAACGUCCAUCUUUCAAAGGUACAUAAAAUCUUUGCAAAGAUGUUUGAUAUUGUUUAUUUAUUAGCUAUUUGCAUUUUUGAGCAUUUAAAAGUUAUUAUGCUGUCGUGUUUACUUACUCAAUAUGAGUAAAGGCCUGCUGUGUACCAGGAUGCACGAUUAAGCAAGCGAUAAGACAUUCCAUUCCUAGGAAUGAAGAAUUUGCAGAAUUUGGUAUUAUCAUUACAUAAAAUAUGUGAUAUUCAUUUUGAACCAAUUUGUAGAAACCCCAUUGGCAGGAUAAAAAAACUUUCACUGCCAACUCUACAUUUACCUGGUAAGAACUUAUAUUUACUAUGACAAUAAAACUCUUAUGAGUCCUAGUGAAAAGUUAUGUAGAGGAAAAGAAUUCCCAUUUCCUAACCAAUAGUCAAUCUCCCAAUUUAUAAACCAUUCAAUAGAAGCUCAAAAUUCAAAAAGUCUCAAAUGCCACUUGUGUAAAAAUAUAAUGUUGUCAACCAAAUUAAUUAAGGCAAAUUCAUUAAUAUAUUCUAGGGAACAUAAAAAAAUAAAUUCUUUAGGCAUAAAGAAACAAAUAUUUCAUUUGGAGAAUUUGACAGACAUUUCCUCAAUAUUUUAUUCAGAUCAUAAGGAUUAUGUAAAUAUAUUUGUAAAUCUUAGUUUUAACAUAUGCAUCUUUCAUUACAUAGGUAUUAUUAAUAAAAUUUUGAAGGGCAAAGAUCAACAAUAUAAGACUACGAUGUUGUGAUGAAUAUGGCAUAUGUUAAAUAUCGAGAAAUCUGCUAGAAAGACAACGGUAAUCAUUAAUUAUCCAUGGUUAUAAAAUCAGUUUUUUAUGUACCAUGUACAAACAGAGACAUUUUUUAAACACUCCAACAUCUCACUGUUGACAGUCCUAAGCCUCCUAAAGUGUGAAAGAAAAUUUUUUGUUUAUGGAUAUAGUUAUAAAAUGACAGAAACAAAAUAAAAAUUAUAAUAAUCA